rnacentral:rRNA from 1 species
GACGAACGCUGGCGGCGUGCUUAACACAUGCAAGUCGAACGGAAAGGCCCUGCCUUUGUGGGGUGCUCGAGUGGCGAACGGGUGAGUAACACGUGAGUAACCUGCCCUUGACUUUGGGAUAACUUCAGGAAACUGGGGCUAAUACCGGAUAGGAGCUCCUGCUGCAUGGUGUGGGUUGGAAAGUUUCGGCGGUUGGGGAUGGACUCGCGGCUUAUCAGCUUGUUGGUGGGGUAGUGGCUUACCAAGGCUUUGACGGGUAGCCGGCCUGAGAGGGUGACCGGCCACAUUGGGACUGAGAUACGGCCCAGACUCCUACGGGAGGAAGCAGUGGGAAAUAUUGCACAAUGGGCGGAAGCCUGAUGCAGCAACGCCGCGUGCGGGAUGACGGCCUUCGGGUUGUAAACCGCUUUCGCCUGUGACGAAGCGUGAGUGACGGUAAUGGGUAAAGAAGCACCGGCUAACUACGUG